rnacentral:rRNA from 1 species
AGAAUCAACGCUGGCGGCGUGCCUAACACAUGCAAGUCGAACGCGGAAGCCCCGCAAGGGGCAAGUAGAGUGGCAAACGGGUGAGUAACACGUGGGUGACCUGCCUUCGAGUGGGGGAUAACGUCCCGAAAGGGACGCUAAUACCGCAUGACAUCCUGCUUUUGGAAAAGCGGAAAUUAAAGCCGGGGAUCGCAAGACCUGGCGCUUGAAGAGGGGCCCGCGGCUGAUUAUCUAGUUGGUGAGGUAACGGCUCACCAAGGCAACGAUCAGUA